rnacentral:rRNA from 1 species
AUUGAACGCUGGCGGCAGGCCUAACACAUGCAAGUCGAGCGGAUGAGUGGAGCUUGCUCCAUGAUUCAGCGGCGGACGGGUGAGUAAUGCCUAGGAAUCUGCCUGGUAGUGGGGACAACGUUUCGAAAGGAACGCUAAUACCGCAUACGUCCUACGGGAGAAAGCAGGGGACCUUCGGGCCUUGCGCUAUCAGAUGAGCCUAGGUCGGAUUAGCUAGUAGGUGAGGUAAUGGCUCACCUAGGCGACGAUCCGUAACUGGUCUGAGAGGAUGAUCAGUCACACUGGAACUGAGACACGGUCCAGACUCCUACGGGAGGCAGCAGUGGGGAAUAUUAGACAAUGGGCGAAAGCCUGAUCCAGCCAUGCCGCGUGUGUGAAGAAGGUCUUCGGAUUGUAAAGCACUUUAAGUUGGGAGGAAGGGCAGUAAGUUAAUACCUUGCUGUUUUGACGUUACCAACAGAAUAAGCACCGGCUAACUUCGUGCCAGCAGCCGCAGUAACAC